rnacentral:misc_RNA from 1 species
UCCGGUUUGUUUCCGGCAGUCUCUCUAGAUAUUCAACUAAAGACAAGGGUUGCGCUCGUUGCGGGACUUAACCCAACAUCUCACGACACGAGCUGACGACAGCCAUGCAACAUCUGUGCGCCUGUCUUGCGAGGCCCUGCUUUCACAGGGUUGCAAGCGCAUGUCAAGCCCAGGUAAGGUUCUUCGCGUUGCAUCGAAUUAAACCACACGCUCCGCUGCUUGUGCGGGUCCCCGUCAAUUCCUUUGAGUUUUAGUCUUGCGACCGUACUCCCCAGGCGGGCCACUUAAUGCGUUAGCUUCGGCACGGAAGGGGUCAACACCCCCCACACCUAGUGGCCAUCGUUUACUGCUAGGACUAC